rnacentral:rRNA from 1 species
UACGUAGGGCGCAAGCGUUGUCCGGAAUUAUUGGGCGUAAAGAGCUCGUAGGCGGUGUGUCGCGUCGGCCGUGAAAACCUGUGGCUUAACUAUGGGCUUGCGGUCGAUACGGGCAUCACUGGAGUUCGGCAGGGGAGACUGGAAUUCCUGGUGUAGCGGUGAAAUGCGCAGAUAUCAGGAGGAACACCGGUGGCGAAGGCGGGUCUCUGGGCCGAUACUGACGCUGAGGAGCGAAAGCGUGGGGAGCGAACAGG